ACUCUAAUAGUUUACAAAAAACAUUGGUCUUGUAAACCAAAGAAUGGAGGCCGCCCCCUCCUUAGAGUU
rnacentral:tRNA from 1 species